GCUGGGAUAGCCAAGCUUGGUCUACGGCGCAGGUUUGCUAAACCUGUGAGGAGCAAUCCUCACGAGGGUUCAAAUCCCUCUCCCAGCG
rfam:Archaeon GW2011_AR5 QT00_C0002, whole genome shotgun sequence.